CCUUAUUCUAUUUGUUUAACUAUCUAGAUUUUCAAGCUAGCCAGGGACACUAUUUUGUUAUGAGUUAUUUUAUUGGUGCUGCUAUUGGUACAGGCAAUUUAUUCAACCUGUCAACUACCAGAUAUAAAAAGAAUGGAUUUGGCUGCUUGUGUGUUUACUUCUCUUUCCAGCAUAACUACAAAUUUGUUCUCUAGAGACACUGAUCAAACUAAAAAUGACACAGACAAACAAACUACAGUGUCAAAAAAACUGUUAUUGUUAAUACAGCCUCAGAUCAUUCAUACCAAUGAUCACAGGCAUUCCAGCUAUGACGAUCUUAUCUUUUUGUAUAUAAGAGUCUACUCCAAUAUUUACUUUCUUUAAGAUGUUAGGAUGUAAGUAGAGGUAUAUUUAGCUAUUUCUAGUAGGUUGAGAAAUAAAGGAAGACUAGCUCAUCAGGUUAUAAAAAAAUUAUAGAACAUUUUAUCACUUCAUAAAUUUGCACAUCAUCUUUACAAUUUGGUGUUUAAUACACACACAAGAUACUUCUCAACUCCAGUUAAACUGAUCUUUUUUAUUUAUCACAAAAGGAUCAAACGAUUAAUUUAAUUAUGGCAAGAUUUGAACUUAUUACCAACACAUAUCAUUUCUGGGCCUACUACUUCUAUACCAACUCAAUUAGUUAAACUGACAGUUGUAUCUUAUUCCUUUCUAUGAUUGUUCCUUCUGUUAUUAUCAUAGUAUAUUCAACUUGCUGCUUCUAAAUGAUUUAAAUACUUCUAAACAUCUUGUGUACAUGGACCAACAGGCACAGGAUAAAACUGUGUUACUAGUUCUCUGCAGUAUUGUUAUUGUUUAGCCUCAGCUUAGCUCUCAUUGAGCAGUCCCAUGAUCAAAGGCAUUUUAACUGUAACCAUCCCAUUUCUUUUUUACUGAUAUUAGAACAUCUAAGACAACACCACUGAAUGUGUCCUUUUACUUUUUCAAAAUAGUGCUGGUGCAAGAAAAGAAAAACAUGCAGUACACUCUUGUAAAAUGGUUGGUGCUAA